rnacentral:rRNA from 1 species
AGAGUUUGAUCCUGGCUCAGGAUGAACGCUGGCGGCGUGCCUAACACAUGCAAGUCGAGCGAUUUACUUCGGUAAAGAGCGGCGGACGGGUGAGUAACGCGUGGGUAACCUGCCCUGUACACACGGAUAACAUACCGAAAGGUAUGCUAAUACGAGAUAAUAUGCUUUUAUCGCAUGGUAGAAGUAUCAAAGCUUUUGUGGUACAGGAUGGACCCGCGUCUGAUUAGCUAGUUGGUAAGGUAACGGCUUACCAAGGCGACGAUCAGUAGCCGACCUGAGAGGGUGAUCGGCCACAUUGGAACUGAGACACGGUCCAAACUCCUACGGGAGGCAGCAGUGGGGAAUAUUGCACAAUGGGCGAAAGCCUGAUGCAGCAACGCCGCGUGAGCGAUGAAGGCCUUCGGGUCGUAAAGCUCUGUCCUCAAGGAAGAUAAUGACGGUACUUGAGGAGGAAGCCCCGG